rnacentral:rRNA from 1 species
CGGCGGACGGGUGAGUAAUGUCUGGGAAACUGCCCGAUGGAGGGGGAUAACUACUGGAAACGGUAGCUAAUACCGCAUAACGUCGCAAGACCAAAGAGGGGGACCUUCGGGCCUCUUGCCAUCGGAUGUGCCCAGAUGGGAUUAGCUAGUAGGUGGGGUAACGGCUCACCUAGGCGACGAUCCCUAGCUGGUCUGAGAGGAUGGCCAGCCACACUGGAACUGAGACACGGUCCAG